CCUACGGGUGGCAGCAGUGAGGAAUAUUGGUCAAUGGGCGCUAGCCUGAACCAGCCAAGUAGCGUGAAGGAUGACUGCCCUAUGGGUUGUAAACUUCUUUUAUAUGGGAAUAAAGUCCAGUAUGUAUACUUCUUUGCAUGUACCUUAUGAAUAAGGAUCGGCUAACUCCGUGCCAGCAGCCGCGGUAAUACGGAGGAUCCGAGCGUUAUCCGGAUUUAUUGGGUUUAAAGGGAGCGUAGGCGGGUUGUUAAGUUAGUGGUGAAAGUGUGCGGCUCAACCGUAAAAUUGCAGUUGAUACUGGCAGCCUAGAGAGUAGUAGAGGUAGGCGGAAUGCGUGGUGUAGCGGUGAAAUGCUUAGAUAUCACGCAGAACUCCGAUUGCGAAGGCAGCCUGCUGGACUAUAACUGACGCUGAUGCACGAAAGUGUGAGUAUCAAACAGGAUUAGAUACCCGAGUAGUC
rnacentral:rRNA from 1 species